rnacentral:rRNA from 1 species
GACGAACGCUGGCGGCGUGCUUAACACAUGCAAGUCGAACGGAAAGGCCCUGCUUUUGUGGGGUGCUCGAGUGGCGAACGGGUGAGUAACACGUGAGUAACCUGCCCUUGACUUUGGGAUAACUUCAGGAAACUGGGGCUAAUACCGGAUAGGAGCUCCUGCUGCAUGGUGGGGGUUGGAAAGUUUCGGCGGUUGGGGAUGGACUCGCGGCUUAUCAGCUUGUUGGUGGGGUAGUGGCUUACCAAGGCUUUGACGGGUAGCCGGCCUGAGAGGGUGACCGGCCACAUUGGGACUGAGAUACGGCGCAGACUCCUAUGGGAGGCAGCAGGGGGGAAUAUUGCACAAUGGGCGGAAGCCUGAUGCAGCAACGCCGCGUGCGGGAUGACGGCCUUCGGGUUGUAAACCGCUUUCGCCUGUGACGAAGCGUGAGUGACGGUAAUGGGUAAAGAAGCACCGGCUAACUACGUG